AUGUCCGAGCGGCGUCUCCAGCGCUCCCUGAACUCCAGCAGCUCGGGGCCGUGCCCACUGCCCCGGGGAGCUGUACCGUCAGGGCACAGCCCUUCUCUCACUCCCCCUCCCCGACCCUCCCCUGACGCAGCCCCGUGCCAUUCCCUCGGGUGCUGGGAGGAAGCAGCAAGGUCACAGCAGGCUCCAUCCCACCCCGAGCGCCCAACCCGCACAGGGCCGGCGCGGGGGAACGGGGGGCGGGCCCGGAAACACGCGCCCCGAGGGGGCGGGGCGAAGGCUGUCACUUCCGGCUCGGCGCGUCCCGGUGCGGCCAGCAGUGAGUAUGUGAGCGGCGCCGGCGCCGCCCUCCCCCUCCUCUGCUGCCUCCCCCCGGCCCGGCCCAGCUGGGCGCCCUCCCGGCCCACCCUCUGGCCUCUGGGCCGCUCCCCGCGGCCGCUUUCCGGCGGUACCUGUGCCGCCGGGCCCGGCUCGUUCCCCGGGUGCCACCCUUCCGUCGCGGCGCUCCCGGCCCGGUGGCCUGACAUGUAAGCUGAGCAAGACAAAGAGCCUUUCAUAGUUCCAGACCUUCAAGGACCUGAAAGGAAGACAAACCAUCGACUCUGCUGAGACUCAGUAGACUGGUGAGUUUAGAUCACUGUAAGUGUAGUGCAGUGCUGCCUCUUUUUGCCCUUCUCUUCACUAUGACAUGUUUGUAAGUAAGCUGUGUGGAUAUUCUUUGACACUUCAGAUCCAACAGUCUUGUUUUGAUGCGUGUUUUCAGGUAUGACUUGGGUUCUUACUUGGUGUGACUUUGUACAGUGGCUGACAGGAGCAGAAGGAAAGAGUGAAUUAAGUUGUAUUUUCUAGUAUCUCUAAAAUUUCAGCAUGCUUCAGGUGGAUUCUUUGAUUUCGUACAUUGCUGAAAGUCUUGUUUUUCUCAUUUCCCAUAACUGUUGGCUAAUAUUAUACAUUUGCCUUAUUAGUGCCAGCCCUGCUUUUAUUCUCAUACUGUGGUCUGGAGCAGGUUAAGACUUGUGUGAAAGGGUGAUCCCACUUGAAAAUGAGAGAGUAGAGUUCUGAUGCUCUUUGGAUGUGAUCUAAGUGAGUGAUUGUAACAGUGACUUCAUCAGCUGUGCAGGUGAGAUUGAAAAAUGUAUGCCAUGUAUCCCUGGAGGUGUUGAAGGCCUGGGUGGAUGGGGCCCUGGGCAGCCUGGUCUAGUGUAUGGCAAAUAGCCCAUGGCAGGGAGGUUGGAGUUAGAUAAUCUUUAAGGUCUCUCCCAACCCAAGCUGUUCUAUGGUAAACAUUACAUUUUCCUGCUUCGGAGUCAUGUCUUAUAUAUUUCUGCCUUUUUGUGUGUGUGGGAGGGGGGAGUUGAAGUGUUUUCCUCUGACUUUGAUGUUUGACGUCUAACGUAGCAGGAAUACAGGUGAGGAUAAAUUUAUCAUGAUCAAGGUGGAACUCUGAUGGGAUGCUCACAGAAAGCUGCAUACAAAUUAUUUAUGUCUAGGACUUCCAAAUUUAAUUGUUUAUACUUGUGUGUCUGAAUAG
rnacentral:lncRNA from 1 species